UUAAAAUAUUCAUAAAAACAGACUUGUUAGUGAAGUUACUUUCCGGAGCUCGAGUUUUUGGUUUAUUUAUUUAGAUACAGCAGGCCCUUCUGGCCUUUCGAGCCUCACCGCCCUGCAACCGCCGAUUUAGCCUAAUCACGGGACAAUUUACAACCGCCGGUUAACCUACCAACCGGUACAUCUUUGGACUGUGGGAGGAAACCGGAGCACCCGGGGGAAACCCACGCGGUCACGGGGAGAAGGUACAAACCCCUUACGGGAAUUGAACCCGUGUCACGGCCACUGUUCAGAGAGAGAAGGUGAAAGUUAAUCCCCGGUAAUUUGGACGGCCCUUCCUUACAGACACGAUCAGUGUACGGAGCCAAAACACAAAAGAGAGAAGAAGUCGGAGUACUGUCCUCUGUCGGGCAGAUUCAAUGUGUACUGGUGAAGCCUCAACAGCGAUCAUGGGGGUGAACAUUGAGUUUCAGCUCAAAGACAUUUUGUAGCAAGAUCAGUUCUUCGUCCAUCCUUCGUUAAUUCCUCACUGGAAUGGAUUUACUAUCCAAUCUGGAAUUUGGAUUGAGAGAAGAUCCUGAAAUCUCUCUGACGUGUCUUUAUGCAACUCAGCCAGUCUCCUUGCAAAUGACAACUCUUGAACCAUACUGUCAUCUCUUAAGAAGUGAACAUAACCAAGAAACAAAGAUUCAUUGCCUGGCAAAAUUGACUCAUCCAAAUACAGAGCAAAUUCUGUUGUCCUAAGGAUUUUCUACCACACUUCAUGAAGUCUCCACCGGAUCCAAUUCAGAUAUAACAUUGCCAGUUGAGUUAUUCAGCAUCCAGACCUGGUUCACCUUUGCAAGAAAUUAUCUCACCUACAUGAACGCUAUGGAUUUUGUCACCAAUAAAGCUAAAUAUCUUUUGAUUGUCUACAC